AAUCCUGCAACACAGGGGACACGGCCGUCAGGAGAGGUCAAAACAUAGAGAGGGAAUGUGCCGUGUGAAUCAGGUUGGUGGAGAGAUCAUAGAAUUUAGUGAUUGAGGAAAUAUUAGAUACAAGUGGUGAGCAAGUCAGGGAAAAAAAGGCCUGUUGCACUGUAAUAUGCAGGAUAGUACAGCAGCCUUCCUCUUUUAGGUACAUUACAAACCACUCCCAAUGAAGGCUUAUUUCCAGGUACUUUCCCCACAACCAAUGGACCCAGCAGUUUCCUCAAUGCUAUCAUGAUUAUGUCAUCUUCUGUCUUGCGUGGUCAUCUGCUGACUCCGCUGUGAAGUAUCUGCACUUAUUAGUGUGAAUUUCCGUUUGGUGAUUCCUAAGAGGCGAGCUAACCCCACAACACCCCAACUGCAGGUUGACGGAUAGACACUCACAGAGCCCUCAUUCAGCAAACAGGAACAAUAAGAAACUAUCCUAUUAAUGUCAGCUGACACGUGGUGAUUGGACAGCAUGAUCCUCCACCAUGAAACACCCUUUCAGCGGAGACAGAAGAAAAGGCUGUGGGAGUAAACACGGAGGCUGGGGCGAAGAGUCAGCUGCUACAGGAGAUGCAACAGCGGGUGAGGCAGGAGAAACGCUCAGACGCCGAAAUCAAGUGCUCCGAAAUCAUGUGGACUGAUAACAACGUCAGCAGCGAGCGGAAAUUCAAUCAAGCCCAGUUCAGUAAGCAGAUGCAUGUGCUAGGAGGAAUAAUAGCCGUCGGAACACAAAGUGAAGUAAAAAGUCAGGUACUGGAGGGACGGGUCUUGGGAUGUUCUACAAAAAAAAAAAAAGAAAAAAAAAAGAAAA